rnacentral:tRNA from 1 species
GCGUCGGUCUCAACCGAACAGAGCAGGGAGUUUCUACCUCCAGGGUUGAGGGUUCGAAUCCUUCCAUGCGCA